GUGUUCGCUUUGGCAGCACAUAUACUAAAAUUGGAACGACACAGAGAUUAGAAUGGCCGCUGCGCAAGGAUGACAUGCAAAUUCGUGAAGCGUUCCAUAUUUCU
ensembl:snRNA U6 U6 spliceosomal RNA